rnacentral:rRNA from 1 species
AAUGAACGCUAGCGGCAAGCCUAAUACAUGCAAGUCGAACGGUGUCUUCGGACAUAGUGGCGCACGGGUGCGUAACACGUAUGCAACCUACCUUACAUUGGGGGAUAGCCUUUCGAAAGGGAGAUUAAUACCGCAUAAGACAGUAGCUGGGCAUCCAGCAGCUGUUAAAGAUUUAUCGAUGUAAGCUGGGCAUGCGUCCAAUUAGCUAGUUGGUGAGGUAACGGCUCACAAAGGCAAUGAUUGGUAGGGGAACUGAGAGGUCAAUCCCCCACACUGGCACUGAGAUACGGGCCAGACUCCUACGGGAGGCAGCAGUAGGGAAUAUUGGGCAAUGGACGCAAGUCUGACCCAGCCAUGCCGCGUGCAGGAUGAAGGCGUUAUGCGUUGUAAACUGCUUUUAUACAGGAAGAAACGACUCUUGCGAGAGGCAUUGACGGUACUGUAUGAAUAAGCACCGGCUAACUCCGUGCCAGCCGCCGCGGUAACAC